UUGAACUUUUGAUGGCAUGUGGAAACAAACUGGUUUCACCAAAGUUGCACGAGGGCCAGAAACUAAAUGGCUUCAUGAUUCACAAUACAUUUACAUCAAAGGCAGUGUACAGUAGACCAUUACACAUUUACGUUUGUCACCACAGAUUUAGAGGACAGUGGUGUGGAGGUUGACACGACAACAGCAUCUAGUGACCACAGAAGUACCACACCAGUCAUUGUAUGACUACAAGGGCUAAGGAUACCUUAAUCCACCUGAGUGACAGAUUAUUUGCUGUUGAGACUGUUCUGAAAUAUUUGGUUUCUGCAUGCAACAAUAAAUAAGAAACAUUU